CACGGGGGUUGCGAGCGUUGUCCGGAAUUACUAGGCGUAAAGGGCAGGCAGGCGGAUCCAUAAGUUUAUCGUUUAAGGCGUCGGCUUAACCGGCGUAGGGCGGUAGAUACUGUGGAUCUGGAAUGCGGUUGGGGAAGACAGAAUUCCUUGUGUAGCGGUGGAAUGCGCAGAGAUCAGGAGGAAUACCGAAGGCGGAGGCAGUCUUCCAAGCCGUUAUUGACGCUCAACUGCGAAGGUGUGGGUAUCAAACAGGAUUAGAUACCCGUCCCUGAGCGGG
rnacentral:rRNA from 1 species